rnacentral:lncRNA from 1 species
CUAAGUGACUUGAUGGUUUGAAGCUUAGCCUUACAACCUUCAGGUCCUUUGUUCGAAGCUAGCAACAAAGAGGGAAUCUAAAACUGUGCUUUGAAUUCACAAUCAACACAAUCCGACUAGAAAAACUUGUGUAACAACUUGUUAGGGGUGCAUGUUAUAUGGCUUCUAAGUUGAAAAUCGGCAUAGUUAAGACUAAUAAUAUGAACACAAUAUCCAAAUUGGGUUGUUUGACCAGUCCGAC